CCAAGCAGCCGCGGUAAUUCCAGCUCCAAUAGCGUAUACUAAAGUUGUUGCGGUUAAAAAGCUCGUAGUUGGAUCUUGGAAUGUGUUCAAGCGGGUCAGCUUCUGGCUGUGCGCUGCUUGACGUGUUCUUCUAUUUGGUUUUGGUGCGGUGCGCUUAACUGCGUGUCGCUCCCGGCCGAAACGUUUACCUUGAAAAAAUUAGAGUGUUCAAAGCAGACCUGUUUGAGUCUGAAUAUUCGUGCAUGGAAUAAUGAAAUAUGAAUUCGGUUCUAUUUUGUUGGUUUUCGGAACUCGAGUUAAUGAUCAAGAGGGACAGACGGGGGCAUUCGUACUCUGCCGUUAGAGGUGAAAUUCUUGGAUCGGCGGAAGACGCGCAACUGCGAAAGCAUUUGCCAAGAAUGUUUUCUUUAAUCAAGAACGAUAGUCGGAGGUUCGAAGACGAUCAGAUACCGUCCUAGUUUCGACUGUAAACUAUGCCAGCUAACGAUCAGACAGAGUUCUCUACGACUUGUCUGGCAGUUUCCGGGAAACCAAAGCGUUUGGGUUCCGGGGGAAGUAUGGUUGCAAAGCUGAAACUUAAAGGAAUUGACGGAAGGGCACCACCAGGAGUGGAGCCUGCGGCUUAAUUUGACUCAACACGGGGAAACUCACCCGGCCCGGACACAGUGAGGAUUGACAGAUUGAGAGUUCUUUCUUGAUUCUGUGGGUGGUGGUGCAUGGCCGUUCUUAGUUGGUGGAGCGAUUUGUCUGGUUAAUUCCGAUAACGAACGAGACUCUGGCAUGUUAAAUAGUCGCGGAAGUGCGUAUGCACUUGCCGAAUUGACUUCUUAGAGGGACUAGUGAUUUUAAUUCACACGAGAUUGAGCAAUAACAGGUCUGUGAUGCCCAAGGGCGAAUCGUUAACUGCAAGAC
rnacentral:rRNA from 1 species